rnacentral:rRNA from 1 species
UACGUAGGGGGCAAGCGUUGUCCGGAUUUUUUGGGCGUAAAGAGCGUGUAGGCGGUUUGGUAGGUCCGCUGUGAAAACUCGAGGCUCAACCUCGAGACGCCGGUGGAAACCAUCAGGCUAGAGUCCGGAAGAGGAGAGUGGAAUUCCUGGUGUAGCGGUGAAAUGCGCAGAUAUCAGGAAGAACACCCGUGGCUAAGGCGGCUCUCUAGUACGGUACUGACGCUGAGACGCGAAAGCCAGGGGAGCGAACGGG